rnacentral:sRNA from 1 species
UUGCCAGUCAGGUCGACCAGACAGGGCGUUGUUGUCCUCAACGGUGGUAGCCACGGUGGGAGUAGUCCGUGGUUUGGGGUGGAGUUUUCUGAGAUGUGAAGGUGGCCAAGCGUGUUUCGUCACUUUCAGACCAUCACGAUGUCUUCCACAGCCACAACCACGCUGGGGUGUCGACUGAGCCGGGAACUUGCGACGUGACGAAGGCAGCUGAGUCUCCUCGAAGAACCUGGUGAUGGAAAAUAGAUGGAAUCGGCGUUUCUUGGAUGCUACGGAUCGAGCUCAUGACGAUGGGAGACAAAAUGGGACUUUGGAUGCGGCAUUGUCACGUGAAAAUACAGCCAGUCACGGGACGCAUUCUGAGUCAUCCACAUGUUUCAGGGGAGGUCAACAAACAAACAAACACAG